rnacentral:lncRNA from 1 species
GGCGGUGAAGAAGGGAUGAACCAGCGGAGGCACUCGAAUGCUGAUUUCUUUAAUGAUAUUUUUGGUGGGAAUAAUGAUCGGUGUUUGAGUCCUUCGCCGAGGAAAUAUGAAAUGAAGGAUCCUUUUGCACCACCAUCCAUGGCGGAGCCUUUUGCUACUUCAUUGCCUAGUCGGUUCAGGUUCGGUUCUCACCUUUUUCUUUUUCGGCUUUCAUUUUGUUAUAUUGCUUAGCGCCUGGCGUGAAGCUAACAGGGGCGAACACAAAAAAAAAUUUAGUGAAUUCUAAAAUUUUAACAGCUCAAAUAUAAUUUUUUUUUCAUUUUUAGAGGACCAAGGUACAAUUUCACCAUAUAUUAACUUACAUUUUCAUCAUUCAUAAAGAGACUAAAUUACAUGACUUUCAUUUGGGGGCCAAGUUCUUUACCUGCCCCUAAAUUCACCCUUAGAAGCUAGGAAAUUUUUGUUGAGGAUUGAAAUUAAAUUAAUUUUUUUUAGGAGAGUUGAAAUGUAAUUUUUUUUAUUACAAGCUUAAAAUUUUAUGAUUUUUAGAAAAAUUAAAUCAUAAUUUUAUCAUUUUAAAAGGGUUAAAAUGUAAUUUUAUUAUGUAUUAAUUUUUAAAUUUUUAAAAUUUUAAAUUUUAGUGAAGUUAAAAUAUAAAUUAUUUAUUUUAGGGUCAGGUCCUGCUUGUCCCUUCUAAUGUUGCCCAUGCUUAGGGUGGAGAAAAAAAAAAUCAAAAAAUCUAAAACCGACUCCAACCUUAGUGUUUAGAUGAUUUUUAGAAUAGAAAUUAAAAAAUUAUGAUUAUCCAUAGCUGAACCUUUUGCUACUUCAUUGCUUACUACCAUAGGCCAAAGCUAAAAAUAUUUAAAUUUAAUUUUUUAUAUUUUAGAGGGCCUAAAAUAGGAAUUGUACCAUUUGACCAAGGACAAAAUCGAGGGGACUAAAUUCCUAGAAAUAUAAGCAUAUGAACUAAAUUCCAAAAUUUGAAAGCGUACAGGGAUUUAUGACACAUUUUAACCUUAUUUUUUAAACAAAUUUAUAAGGAUUAAAUUAUAAAUUUGACCAUAUUAGAGUGACCAAAAUCAAAAUUAACCUUUUACUACUUUUCAACAAAAUUUGACAUGAAGCUCGUGCUCUAUUUACUCCCAUGGCUUACUUUUUUUGCUGCC